rnacentral:lncRNA from 1 species
CUCUGAAAGCUUCCAAUCCUGGAGAGCCAAAUCUCCAGGACACAGCAAACAUCACAGUCACUGUGGAAGAUGUGAAUGAAGAAGGACCUGUGUUUGACAAGCCCUCAUAUCACCAGAUCCUUCUGGACAAUUCUACAGCUGGCACUCUGGUAGUAGAUAUCAAUGCAAGAGAUGAAGGCAAGGAUUAUGAUGAGGGAAUUAUCUACAAUAUUACAGGUGGGAACUCAGAAGGCCUCUUUAAUCUCUCCAGUACCACAGGAGAACUCAAGUUAACAAGAGAUUUAUCCAAACAAACUGAACCCCAGUAUUACUCCUUGAAUGUCACCGCUACGGAUUCGGGUUUGCCGCCUCUUUCAACCUCUGUAAAGGUACUAAAUUUUAGUGUCAGCUUGCACAGUUUAUUCCCCAGCUUGUUUUGUUCUAAGCUGAGCAUGAAUACACCAGGAAAUGGGUCUUAGUGAGGCAAAACUAUGCAAAACACAGAUCAUUUCAUUUCAGAAAAGACAGACAGGCUCUAGGCCCUGAGGGAGGAGGAUUAGAGGAGUGAAGACUUCUGUACAAGGUCAAAGAGUGGGGCAGUCAGAGGGGAUGUAAUGGAAGUGUGUGAUAAACAAACAGGAGGUGAGGUGGCAAAUAACGUGUUCCUGUUUAUUUUCUUAUAAAG